AUUGAACGCUGGCGGCAGGCCUAACACAUGCAAGUCGAACGAGUGGCGGACGGGUGAGUAAUGACUGGGAAACUGCCCGAUGGAGGGGGAUAAGUACUGGAAACGGUAGCUAAUACCGCACACCAUAGGAUGGGCCCGGAUGGGAUUAGGUAGUGGGUGGGGUAAUGGCUCACCAAGGCGACGAUCCCUAGCUGGUCUGAGAGGAUGAACAGCCACACUGGAACUGAGACACGGUCCAGACUCCUACGGGAGGCAGCAGUGGGGAAUAUUGCACAAUGGGCGCAAGCCUGAUGCAGCCAUGCCGCGUGUAUGAAGAAGGCCUUCGGGUUGUAAAGUACUUUCAGCGGGGAGGCGUUACCCGCAGAAGAAGCACCGGCUAACUCCGUGCCAGCAGCCGCGGUAAUAC
rnacentral:rRNA from 1 species